CUUUACUGUAGCCUGGUAUUGGGUUCGGGCUUUGACUGCGCAGGAUAGGUGGGAGACUAUGAAGCUGCCCUUGUGGGGGCAGUGGAGUCAUCAGUGAGAUACCACUCUGUCAAGGCUAGAAUUCUAACCGUCUGCAGUUAUCCGGCGACGGAACAGUAUCAGGUAGGCAGUUUGACUGGGGCGGUCGCCUCCUAAAUGGUAACGGAGGCGCGCAAAGGUUCCCUCAGGCUGGUUGGAAAUCAGCCGAAGAGUGUAAAGGCAGAAGGGAGCUUGACUGCAAGAGCAACAACUCAAGCAGGGACGAAAGUCGGCCUUAGUGAUCCGACGGCGCUGAGUGGAAGGGCCGUCGCUCAACGGAUAAAAGUUA
rnacentral:rRNA from 1 species